rnacentral:tRNA from 1 species
GGCGAUGUAGCUCAGUUGGUAGAGCAUCCGGCUCAUAUCCGGCAGGUCAGGGGAUCGUGGCCCUUCAUCGCCA